CUAUUCGGGUGCAUACAUAAAUCGCGGAUAAAUCACGACAGGGACGGGCCUCGGUGUGCGGCGAGCAUGCAUGGAAAAGCAAAAACGGUGGCUCCUAUCGGCCUUAAAAAGGAUCACCGGUAGUCGUCACCCGUGUUCGAUGCUGGAUGCUUAGAAUUUCGAUAAAUCUAAGUUGGCACGUAGAAGGGAAGGAGUGGAUGGAGUGAGACUAAAGUAGAAAAAGAAAGAAAGAAGAAGAUAGAUAGAUAGAGAAAGACAGAGAGAGAGAGAGAGAGAGAGAGAGAGAGAGAGAGAGAGAGAGGGCGGCUUCUGUCUUUCAUUCGAGAUCGUGCAUCGGCUUGGCUCCUUUCCAAAAUCGUCCUUCUUUUCUCCAUCCCGUAAACAAAGCGCACUUAAGACCACGGUGACAGCCACGACUCGUGCUUCUCAUUCAGAGAUAGAUAAAGAAAGAGAAAGAAAGAAAGAGAGAGAGAUAGAGAUAGAGUGCAUCCGGUUCAAUCGAAAUUAAUCGUUGCUUUCGCGAGAACCCAUACGUACACGUUUCUGUCUCUUUUUCUUCUUCUUCUUCUUCUUCUUCUUCUUCUUCUUCUUCUCUUUUUUCUUCUUCUUCUUCUUCAACGAAAAGAAAAAUGAAUCGUUGAAGACUAUCCUUUGCCUCUCUUUCUCUCUCUCUCUCUCUCUCUUUUCUCUUUCUUUCUCUCUCUCUUUCAAAUGGCUUCUACGGAUCGUGAUCGAGAUUUGGAGCAACUCCAGCGCGAAGUACAGAGCAUGCCUCUUCGGUAUAUAUUCCGUUUUAUCGUUUCCCUCGCUCGAAGAAGAUACGGUCACCCCGGUUUGGUACCGAUAACCUCGCCGUCUGACCUUAUUAUAUCUCGGUCCUUCGCACACACAAGAUUCUCCUUCGUCGCUUCUACCGAUAAUAAUUUUCAACUUUAACGCUCUCGCUCGUGUCGACAGAGUGAGCACGCAAGAGCAUAGCUACUUAUUUGAUAGUACGAGAGAGACAGACAGAGAAAGAGAGAGAGAGAGAAAGAGGACAUAGAAAAAGAAAGAGAGAGAAAGAGAGAGAAAGAGAGAGAGAGAGAGAGAGAGAGAUAAGGAAUUUCCUGGAAUCUAUAGCUACUCUCGAUCGAGACCGAUCGAGGCCACGAGUCAAUGAAUUUCCGUACGAUGAAUGAAUUCCCCUUCUCUUUUAAUGAUUCUCGCUUUUCCGAUCGGUCCAUCUUGGAAAAAGAAGUUCGGAGAUACUAUGUAAGUAAGGAAAGAAGGAAGGAAGGAAGUACGUGUGUAAGUAUAUAUCUCGAUGUUCUCUAUCGAUUGGAAUGUUUUAUAUAAAGUGAACGUCGUUUAUCGGUCGGUCGGUCGAAUGCAUGCGCAGCACAUUCUCGAAGCGACGCGACGGCAUCGUAUGACCCAGUAUUGCAUCACAUAACAUCAAGUAAACAGGCGCCUUUUUAACUAUCAAGUCUAAUCGUUCUAAGAUAACGAUUCCUAAAAACAGUAUAAUUGCCGUAUGAUCUUACGAGAAGAGAAAUGCGUUCGAUCAACUAAAUAGCCAAAAUCUUGUUUAAAAAUAAUAAAUGAUUUUCAAGAAAUACGAGAUAAACGUUAUCGAGUUAAAUCCUAUGGAACUCGUAUGGAAAGUUUUCGUUCUCCGAUAUGAUUAAUAAAAUAUAUCUUUCUUCUUUUUUA